rnacentral:rRNA from 1 species
AUUGAACGCUGGCGGCAGGCCUAACACAUGCAAGUCGAACGGUAACAGGAAGAAGCUUGCUUCUUUGCUGACGAGUGGCGGACGGGUGAGUAAUGUCUGGGAAACUGCCUGAUGGAGGGGGUUAACUACUGGAAACGGUAGCUAAUACCGCAUAACGUCGCAAGCCCAAAGAGGGGGACCUUCGGGCCUCUUGCCAUCGGCUGUGCCCAGAUGGGAUUAGCUAGUAGGUGGGGUAACGGCUCACCUAGGCGACGAUCCCUAGCUGGUCUGAGAGGUUGACCAGCCACACUGGAACUGAGACACGGUCCAGACUCCUACGGGAGGCAGCAGUGGGGAAUAUUGCACAAUGGGCGCAAGCCUGAUGCAGCCAUGCCGCGUGUAUGAAGAAGGCCUUCGGGUUGUAAAGUACUUUCAGCGGGGAGGAAGGGAGUAAAGUUAAUACCUUUGCUCAUUGACGUUACCCGCAGAAGAAGCACCGGCUAACUCCGUG